rnacentral:lncRNA from 1 species
UCCGUAUAGCUGUGAUUUUCAACAAUUUAUCAGUCCAAAGCCCGUAAUUUUGCAAAAAUAGCGAGCGGAAAACUUGAACUUGAUCUGUAACUUAUUAUGGUUAACUCACAUGCCAAAAAUCAUCCCAAUAUCUGAAGACGUUUAGAAAAAACUCUGUAUAUAAUGGUUUGUUGCGAAAUGACGGAAUGACGGAAUUGCGGAAUUACAGACAAGGGUAAAACUACAAAUGUAUAUGGCACCGACAACUUCGUUGCGGGGCCAUAAAAAUAUAACCAUGAUCUAUCAAAUUGAAUAUACAGUCUGAAGAUAACUGGUGCACGUGUGAUACAACAUGCAGAAUAUCUUCGGGAUAAAAGUAAGUCCUUUACGAAAUCUACAGAUAGGUUGAAAUAAAAUUCCGAUGAGGUCAUGGAUGGGGGUCCUAUCAUUUUGAUCCUUUAAUUUUUCUCUAAUUUUUAUGAAUUUUGCACAUUUUACACUGUUUUGUAUAUAUAAGCUCACAAUUAUUCUGUAUUUGUCCUUUAUCUCUCUAUAAUAUAUUUCUAGCCUUUUAUUCUUCACAUUUUGUCAAGCAUUCUUUAUCAUCUGUAAACCCCAUUCACAACCCCCGAUAUAUGUACAUGUAUUACUACCACUGACAACUGAAGCUUCUUGGUUUAUCACUUUAUAUAAGUGAAAAGUAUGUUUGUUUAAGGUUAUUACUAAGACAAAUACUUUAUACUACUUAUAUAAUAUUGAUGUCAGAAUAAUGUAUGCUUAAGUCUUAAAAACCUAGAUAAGCAGCAAAGUUUGACACAAAGCUAAGAUAAAUACAUAUUUCAAAAUAAGAAUUUCAAAACAAAACUACUUUCGCAUGGAAUAGUUUUUACGAAAGACUUAUAAAAUAUGAG